rnacentral:piRNA from 1 species
UAAUGCCUCCAGAUGACUGCCUAUUU